rnacentral:rRNA from 1 species
GUUGUCGUCAGCUCGUGUCGUGAGAUGUUGGGUUAAGUCCCGCAACGAGCGCAACCCUUAUCUUCAGUAGCCAGCAGGUAAAGCCGGGCACUCUGGAGAGACUGCCGGGGAUAACCCGGAGGAAGGUGGGGAUGACGUCAAAUCAUCAUGCCCCUUAUGAUUUGGGCUACACACGUGCUACAAUGGCGUAAACAGAGGGAAGCGAGCCCGCGAGGGGGAGCAAAUCCCAAAAAUAACGUCCCAGUUCGGAUUGUAGUCUGCAACCCGACUACAUGAAGCUGGAAUCGCUAGUAAUCGCGGAUCAGAAUGCCGCGGUGAAUACGUUCCCGGGUCUUGUACACACCGCCCGUCACACCAUGGGAGUCGGAAAUGCCCGAAGUCUGUGACCUAACCGCAAGGGAGGAGCAGCCGAAGGCAGGUCGGAUGACUGGGGUGAAGUCGUAACAAGGUAGCCGUAUCGGAAGGUGCGGCUGGAUCACCUC